rnacentral:RNase_P_RNA from 1 species
AAAGGCGAGGUAAGAGCUCACCAGUUUUCCGGGUGACCGGGAAAGCUUGGUAAACCCCAUCCGGAGCAAGACCAAAUAGGAGAACGCUUGAGGGUGGCCCGCUCGAAGUUCUCGGGUAGCGUCGCACGAGGCGGCAGGCAACUGCCGUCCCAGAUGAAUGAUCACCGCUCCUUUCGGGGAAACCGGAAAGGGGAACAGAACUCGGCUUACAGAUCUGCUUUGAUA